AGUUACCAGCACGUUAUGGUGGGCACUCUAAGGAGACUGCCGGUGACAACCGGAGGAAGGUGGGGAUGACGUCAAGUCAUCAUGGCCCUUACGGCCUGGGCUACACACGUGCUACAAUGGUCGGUACAAAGGGUUGCCAAGCCGCGAGGUGGAGCUAAUCCCAUAAAACCGAUCGUAGUCCGGAUCGCAGUCUGCAACUCGACUGCGUGAAGUCGGAAUCGCUAGUAAUCGUGAAUCAGAAUGUCACGGUGAAUACGUUCCCGGGCCUU
rnacentral:rRNA from 2 species